ensembl:antisense Gm20659 predicted gene 20659
UUUGUAAUGUAAGACAUUUAUUUUGGUUACAACUUUAGAGUGCGUUAACACUGGUGGUAGACUAGAGGCUAAACUUUCCUUUUCCUCCCGGAUGCCAGGACCUCCCAUGCCUGGCAGGUGACAGUGCUCUGCCUCACCCCACCAUCCCCUGCCCUCUGAGCCUCUUCGGUCCACUGAAUCACUUUUUACGGAGUUAACCUAACGCUGGCAGAGGAAAAUGGAAUACAAGUUAAAUAUCCAGCUAUUCUCUCUAUGCUACGAUCAGGACAAAGCCUGUAAAAGAAUUAUGAAAAAGACAAUUUCCUGUGAGAAAAUCUCUUAUCCUCGUAUUAUAAGAUCAGUGCUUCUCUUGAUUAAAACAUUUAGCAUCUUAAAUACUAUGAGCAACUUAAGAGUGCUGGAGCCCAGAAGAGCCUUAGUAUGGGCCAAGAGUUCCCUCAUUUGGUAAGUGUUAGUCUGUGCUCUCAAGACAAUAGAACAGCAAAGAAACAGACCUACCCCUGGAAAAGGCAGGCAGACUUUAGAAGAUUGAGAAGAGAAACCAUUUUUAUGUUUGUAAUUUUUACCUGGAUGUUUAUAAGUCAUAGAAAGUGGCUGGGUCUGA